AUUGAACGCUGGCGGCAGGCUUAACACAUGCAAGUCGAGCGGUAGCACAGGGGAGCUUGCUCCCUGGGUGACGAGCGGCGGACGGGUGAGUAAUGUCUGGGAAACUGCCUGAUGGAGGGGGAUAACUACUGGAAACGGUAGCUAAUACCGCAUAACGUCGCAAGACCAAAGAGGGGGACCUUCGGGCCUCUUGCCAUCAGAUGUUCCCAGAUGGGAUUAGCUAGUAGGUGGGGUAAUGGCUCACCUAGGCGACGAUCCCUAGCUGGUCUGAGAGGAUGACCAGCCACACUGGAACUGAGACACGGUCCAGACUCCUACGGGAGGCAGCAGUGGGGAAUAUUGCACAAUGGGCGCAAGCCUGAUGCAGCCAUGCCGCGUGUGUGAAGAAGGCCUUCGGGUUGUAAAGCACUUUCAGCGAGGAGGAAGGUGGUGAGCUUAAUACGUUCAUCAAUUGACGUUACUCGCAGAAGAAGCACCGGCUAACUCCGUG
rnacentral:rRNA from 1 species